AUGCUCAAAAUUCUCCAAGCCAGGAUUCAGCAAUACAUGAAUCAUGAACUUCCUGAUGUUCAAGCUGGUUUUAGAAAAGACAGAGGAACCAGAGAUCAAAUUGCCAACAUCCGCUGGAUCAUGGAAAAGGCUAGAGAGUUCCAGAAAAACAUCUAUUUCUGCUUUCUUGACUAUGCCAAAGCCUUUGACUGUGUGGAUCACAAUAAACUGUGGAAAAUUCUGAAAGUGAUGGGAAUACCAGACCACCUAACCUGCCUCUUGAGAAAUCUGUAUGCACGUCAGGAAGCAACAGUUAGAACUGGACAUGGAACAACAGACUGGUUCCAAAUAGGAAAAGGUGUACGUCAAGGCUGCAUAUUGUCACCCUGCUUAUUUAACUUAUAUGCAGAGUACAUCAUGAGAAAUGCUGGACUGGAAGAAACACAAGCUGGAAUCAAGAUUGCCAGGAGAAAUAUCAAUAACCUCAGAUAUGCAGAUGACACCACCCUUAUGGCAGAAAGUGAAGAGGAGCUAAAAACCCUCUUGAUGCAAGUGAAAGAGGAGAGUGAAAAAGUUGGCUUAAAGCUCAACAUUCAGAAAAUGAAGAUCAUGGCAUCCGAUCCCAUCACUUCAUGGGAAAUAAAUGGGGAAACAGUGGAAACAGUGUCAGACUUUAUUUUUUUGGGCUCCAAAAUCACCACAGAUGGUGACUGCAGCCAUGAAAUUAAAAGACGCUUACUCCUUGGAAGAAAAGUUAUGACCAACGUAGAUAGCAUAUUCAAAAGCAGUGACAUUACUUUGCCGACUGAGGUCCAUCUAGUCAAGGCUAUGGUUUUUCCUGUGGUCAUGUAUGGGUGUGAGAGUUGGACUGUGAAGAAGGCUGAGUGCCAAAGAAUUGAUGCUUUUGAACUGUGGUGUUGGAGAAGACUCUUGAGAGUCCCUUGGACUACAAGGAGAUCCAACCAGUCCAUUCUGGAUAUCAACCCUGGGAUUUCUUUGGAGGGAAUGAUGCUAAAGCUGAAACUCCAGUACUUUGGCCACCUCAUGCAAAGAGUUGACUCCUUGGAAAAGACUCUGAUGCUGGGAGGAAUUAGGGGCAGUAGGAGAAGGGGAUGA
rnacentral:lncRNA from 1 species